GGAUCAUAAACAAUUUGAGAAAAAAAAUAAAGUGGGCAUAUCACCUCAUAACAUGCCAGCAUUCUAAAUGGAAUAAAGAAAUAACCUUUAAAAACAUUGUGUAACUUCCAGAAGUAAAUAUAGUAGAGUGUUUUUAUAAUCUCAUGGUACAGAAGGUCUUCUAAACCAAGCAUAUUAAGAACCAUAAAUGAAAAGACUAGCAGAUUUGACUACAAAAAUAUUACAAACUUCUGUAAUGGCAAAAUAAAUGAAGUUAAAAAGAGUCUACAGACAGGAAGAGAAUAAUUGUUAUUUAUAUAAUAGAUAGAGAAAUAUUAUCUGUAAUAUACAGAUUACUUUUAAAUAAUAGACACAUAUCAGUGGACAAAUGAGCAAAGGAAAUGAACUGUCAAUUUAAAGAAAUCAAAAUAGCUUAUAAACAUGAUUUAAAAAUGGUAAUCUUUAGUGAUCAGGAAAAGGCAAAUUAAAACAAAAAACCAAGAUAACAUUUUUUUGCCUAUUAUGUGGCAAUAUGUAAAAAUAUUUUAAAUAAGGAUAAUAAACAUAGCUAACAUUUACUGAACACAUAUGCUAUGUUCUGAAAAUUUUAAACAUAAUUCAUUUAAUCCUCAUAAAAGCUCAGUGAUGUAGCUAUUAUUAUUCCUAUGAUAUGGGUAAUAAAUCAAGGUAGAGAGAGGCUAAAGUGCCCAAGGUUACACUGGUAAUGAGUGGCAGACAGAUGAUUUGAAUUUAGGUAGCCUGGAGGCUGAGAUUGUGUUCCUAAUUACUAAUUUUACUUCUUUCCAGUUUCCUCAUCUUAAAAAAAAAUAGGCAGGGGGUGUGGAAAUUAUAUCUACCCUGCCUGCCUUAAAGUGUUGCUGUGAAGAACACAGGACACCAUAAUGAACCAAUGAGGGGGAUGCUGUGGUCCCCAUUCUCUUCCAUAGGGACACAUGGUCUGGAGCAUCUGAAGCACUAUGGUAACUUAGCCUCUUUGCCGGAAUGAAAGUGAGCUAUUGUAAUAGCUCCUUCGAGGAGUGGUGUGGGUGGAUUGUCUGAUGCUUCACUCGGACACAUCAAGGAUUGAUCCCCUGUGGAUAUGGUCCAAAUGGACCCAGCUGUCUGCUAUGCAGAGUCAUAUCUCAUUGAAAUGUUACUCCUUGGCAAGUGUGGCGCCUUCAUGGUUUACCAAAUGAUGUAUCAUUUGGCAAGAUCUGGCUCAGCUUUCAUGCUUACUUUUAUUCUUAUAUUUAAGUUCCUUUUUUUUUUUUUUUUUUUUUUUUUUUGAGACAGAAUCUCGCUCUAUCACCCAGGCUGGAGUGUGGUGGGGUGAUCUCAGCUCACUGCAACUUUCUCCUCCUGGGUUCAAGAAAUUCUCCUGCCUCAGCCUCCCAAGUAGCUGGGAUUACAGAUGUGUGCCACUAUGCCUGGCUAAUUUUUGUAUUUUUAGUAGAGACAGGGUUUUGCCAUUUUGGCCAGGCUGGUCUCGAACUCCUGACCUCCAGUGAUUCACUCACCUUGGCCUCCCAAAAUGCUGGGAUUAUAGGUGUGAGCCACCUCGCCCAGCCAUUUAAAUUCUUUAAAGUGUUGAUUCUUCUUUCCACUGAUCUUUAGUUCUUCUGGAUUGUAGAUAGCAAGAGAAGAAGAAAUUAUCUAUAGACCAAAUAUCUCAUGAGGUUGCAAUGGAGGUAAUCAAAGCCCCAAGUGCUUCUCAAGACAGCUAACACAACUAUGUGUAGUUGUGUUACACACAGCUACACACAGGGAAUGAGUAAGGUCUUCUCACUCUCCAUCCUCAAAUGACCAUAUAAUUCAUUUUUCCUUUUUCUCUUUUUCUGUUUUAUUCUUUAAUUUUUUGUUCCCUUUCCUGCUCUUUUGGUGACACCCAUGGCUAAAGAAGUUUCUGAAUCCAUCUGACAUGUAUAUUGAACUUUUAAGGCAAGAUAUUAAAUGUUGUAGAGGAGUAAUGCUGAUACAACUUUCUAAAUAAAUUGUUAUUUUUGCAAGGAUGCGUAGGGCUAGCUGAUGUUUGAUUACUGUUUGUUGAAGUUUAAAAUCUAUAUACCAUCCUAUAUGGAAUCAUUCUAAGUCCUAAGUAGAGUAAAUUAAAAUAGCAAAACCUAAGACACUGGAAAAAUUGCACUGUAAUGAAAAUAUCUAUAGAGAAAAGAAAAACUAUAUCAGAGAAAAAAUACCAUA
rnacentral:lncRNA from 1 species